GCAUCGAUGAAGAACGCAGCAAAAUGCGAUAAGUAAUGUGAAUUGCAGAAUUCAGUGAAUCAUCGAAUCUUUGAACGCACAUUGCGCCCGCCAGUAUUCUGGCGGGCAUGCCUGUUCGAGCGUCAUUU
rnacentral:rRNA from 6 species